rnacentral:rRNA from 1 species
UGCCAGACUCCUACGGGAGGCAGCAGUGAGGAAUAUUGGUCAAUGGGCGAGAGCCUGAACCAGCCAAGUCGCGUGAAGGAUGACGGCCCUACGGGUUGUAAACUUCUUUUGUCAGGGAGCAAUUGAGUCCACGUGUGGGCUUAGCGAGAGUACCUGAAGAAAAAGCAUCGGCUAACUCCGUGCCAGCAGCCGCGGUAAUACGGAGGAUGCGAGCGUUAUCCGGAUUUAUUGGGUUUAAAGGGUGCGUAGGCGGAAUAUCAAGUCAGGGGUAAAAUUGGGAGGCUCAACCUCGUCGAGCCGUUGAAACUGGUUUUCUUGAGUGAGUGAGAAGUAUGCGGAAUGCGUGGUGUAGCGGUGAAAUGCAUAGAUAUCACGCAGAACUCCGAUUGCGAAGGCAGCAUACCGGCGCUCAACUGACGCUCAUGCACGAAAGUGUGGGUAUCGAACAGGAUUAGAUACCCCCGUA